UACGUAGGGGGCAAGCGUUGUCCGGAUUUACUGGGCGUAAAGAGCGUGUAGGCGGCCAAACAGGUCCGUUGUGAAAACUCGGAGGCUCAACCUCCAGACGUCGACGGAAACCGUGUGGCUAGAGUCCGGAAGAGGAGAGUGGAAUUCCGUGGUGUAGCGGUGAAAUGCGCAGAUAUCAGGAAGAACACCAAUGGCGAAGGCAGCUCUCUAGUACGGUACUGACGCUGAGACGCGAAAGCGUGGGGAGCGAACAGG
rnacentral:rRNA from 1 species